rfam:Punica granatum cultivar Dabenzi scaffold106, whole genome shotgun sequence.
GUCUCUUCGGAGACACCGGACAAAAUUGUAAUGAUAUAGAGAAGAUCAGCAUGGCCCCUACGCAAGAAUGAUACAAAUUUUUAGAAAUAUAUUCUCUCAAA